rnacentral:rRNA from 1 species
CCUACGGGCGGCAGCAGUGAGGAAUAUUGGUCAAUGGGCGAGAGCCUGAACCAGCCAAGUCGCGUGAAGGAGUACUGCCCUAUGGGUUGUAAACCUCUUUUGUCGGGGAGCAAAAGCCUGACGUGUCCGGCUGUGAGAGUACCCGAAGAAAAAGCAUCGGCUAACUCCGUGCCAGCAGCCGCGGUAAUACGGAGGAUGCGAGCGUUAUCCGGAUUUAUUGGGUUUAAAGGGUGCGCAGGCGGAUUUUUAAGUCAGCGGUAAAAUCGUGGGGCUCAACCCCAUCCAGCCGUUGAAACUGGGGAUCUAGAGUGUGCGAGAGGUAUGCGGAAUGCGUGGUGUAGCGGUGAAAUGCAUAGAUAUCACGCAGAACCCCGAUUGCGAAGGCAGCAUACCGGUGCACAACUGACGCUCAGGCACGAAAGCGUGGGUAUCGAACAGGAUUAGAUACCCCAGUAGUC